UUUGCAGGUGAAUGUGGGAUCUGACGUGGUUGUGAAUUCAACAGGAUGGAUCCAGGUGGGGACAGGGGGGAGGGACUCCCUCCCUCUAUAACUACUCUAUGUGGGGAACAUAAAAGCCAGAGCAAAGCUCAGAGGAUGUAUGAAGCACUCACAUCACAAUCAGAUCCCAGCCCCUUGUCCUCCAGGACCAUUCGUUCAUCUUCUGAACCUUUAACUUCAGAGAGGACCCAACAGACAUUUAAAUUUGAUCAAGAACUAAGCAAUGUGUCCUUCAAGAGUGAUCGAUCAAGGCCUCUGCCCCCUGACUUUAAAUCUUCUG